UACGGAGGGUGCAAGCGUUAUCCGGAAUUACUGGGUUUAAAGGGUGCGCAGGCGGAUAUGUAAGUCAGUGGUGAAAUCUCCGGGCUUAACCCGGAAACUGCCGUUGAUACUAUAUAUCUUGAAUGCCGUGGAGGUAAGCGGAAUAUGUCAUGUAGCGGUGAAAUGCUUAGAUAUGACAUAGAACACCUAUUGCGAAGGCAGCUUACUACACGGAGAUUGACGCUCAUGCACGAAAGCGUGGGGAUCAAACAGG
rnacentral:rRNA from 1 species